UUACGGCUACAUCGCAUUGAAACAACCGGUUUCCGUACGAUGAUCGUAGUUAAACAACGUUGAGCGUAAUCAGUACCUUGGUAGGAGACCGCCUGGCAAUAUCAGGUGCUGUAAG